rnacentral:rRNA from 1 species
UACGGGGGGAGCAAGCGUUGUCCGGAAUUAUUGGGCGUAAAGAGCUCGUAGGCGGUCUGUCGCGUCGGCUGUGAAAACCCGCGGCUCAACCUCGGGCCUGCAGUCGAUACGGGCAGACUAGAGUGCGGUAGGGGAAGCUGGAAUUCCCGGUGUAGCGGUGAAAUGCGUAGAGAUCGGGAGGAAUACCUGUGGCGAAAGCAGGCUUCUGGGCCGUCACUGACGCUGAGCUGCGAAAGCUAGGGGAGCAAACAGG